rnacentral:tRNA from 1 species
GAGGCUUUAGUAUAUUUUAGUAUAAUUUAUUUUCAAUAAAUGGGAGAUAAGUCUUAU